CAAAGGAUCACAACUGGAACUCAAAUAUCCUACCAUAGAGGAUGGAAGUAGGUCAUCUGGCGAGCACCCCGGUAUUUCUCCCGCACAUUAAUUUCCUUGGAGUCCACUUCACACGAGCCCAACUGGCAGACAUUCUCUCUUUUUUUCUCUUUAUAGAACUAUAAAACUGUGUUAUUUGAGUUAUACAUUACCAUAAUGGAUGCGGUAAUAGUGCUUUGUCAGCUGUAUCUCCCUGUUGGCUGUCUCUGCUUUUGCCUUGAGGAGCUAUUAUUGUACUGUAGCAAAUGUUAAGAAAAAGAGUAGACUUCUAUCUUAUUUAUUAACAAUGGUGAGUAAUUAUAUCUUAAAACAUUUGUCCACUCCAUUUACCCUCCAUAACAUAGUUUCUUGCCAAGAAGACAUUAUUUAAGAGAAAUUGAAAGAACAUAUGCAUUGUGCACUGCCCCAGUAUCACCAUCACCUCCACCUCUACUUCCUGGGUAAUCCUGUGUGCUGAAUUACUCACUUUCUAACCCAGCUCUUCAUUUUUCAGCAAAGAAGAAUUGUGUUUAUAAGAUGUGUGAAAAGAGAAGAAAGAUGUUUGUCAGUAGGUUGGUUUACUCUGUGAAAGUAAGUGUCCUUAGGACGCAUCACUUCUGUUGUAAGAGUCUUAAUGGGAAUAAGCUUUAAGUGGAACCAAACAACUUCAAAUGCCCUGUUAUUUAUC
rnacentral:lncRNA from 1 species